rnacentral:SRP_RNA from 1 species
CUGGAAUGCAGCAGCAACAGCGAGCUGGGACUGUG